GGUUAAGCGACUAAGCGUACACGGUGGAUGCCUAGGCAAUCAGAGGCGAUGAAGGACGUGCUAAUCUGCGAAAAGCGUCGGUAAGGUGAUAUGAACCGUUAUAACCGACGAUGUCCGAAUGGGGAAACCCAGUGCAAUUCGUUGCACUAUCGUUUGAUGAAUCCAUAGUCAAACGAGGCGAACCGGGGGAACUGAAACAUCUCAGUACCCCGAGGAAAAGAAAUCAACCGAGAUUCCCCUAGUAGCGGCGAGCGAACGGGGAGCAGCCCAGAGUCUUAAUCAGCAUCAGCAUCAGGAGAACGGUCUGGAAAGGCCGGCAAUAAAGGGUGAUAGCCCCGUAUCCGAAGGUGUUGGUGUUGUGAACUCGACGAGUAGGGCGGGACACGUGUUAUCCUGUCUGAAUAUGGGGGGACCAUCCUCCAAGGCUAAAUACUCCUGAUUGACCGAUAGUGAACCAGUACCGUGAGGGAAAGGCGAAAAGAACCCCGGCGAGGGGAGUGAAAUAGAACCUGAAACCGUGUACGUACAAGCAGUGGGAGCCUUGAUUUAUCAGGGUGACUGCGUACCUUUUGUAUAAUGGGUCAGCGACUUAUAUUCUGUAGCAAGGUUAACCGAAUAGGGGAGCCGUAGGGAAACCGAGUCUUAACUGGGCGAAUAAGUUGCAGGGUAUAGACCCGAAACCCGGUGAUCUAGCCAUGGGCAGGUUGAAGGUUGGGUAACACUAACUGGAGGACCGAACCGACUAAUGUUGAAAAAUUAGCGGAUGACUUGUGGCUGGGGGUGAAAGGCCAAUCAAACCGGGAGAUAGCUGGUUCUCCCCGAAAGCUAUUUAGGUAGCGCCUCGUGAACUCAUCUUCGGGGGUAGAGCACUGUUUCGGCUAGGGGGUCAUCCCGACUUACCAACCCGAUGCAAACUACGAAUACCGAAGAAUGUUAUCACGGGAGACACACGGCGGGUGCUAACGUUCGUCGUGAAGAGGGAAACAACCCAGACCGCCAGCUAAGGUCCCAAAGUCAUGGUUAAGUGGGAAACGAAGUGGGAAGGCUCAGACAGCCAGGAUGUUGGCUUAGAAGCAGCCAUCAUUUAAAGAAAGCGUAAUAGCUCACUGGUCGAGUCGGCCUGCGCGGAAGAUGUAACGGGGCUAAACCAUGCACCGAAGCUGCGGCAGCGACAUGUAAAUGUUGUUGGGUAGGGGAGCGUUCUGUAAGCCUGUGAAGGUGUGCUGCGAGGCAUGCUGGAGGUAUCAGAAGUGCGAAUGCUGACAUAAGUAACGAUAAUGCGGGUGAAAAACCCGCACGCCGGAAGACCAAGGGUUCCUGUCCAACGUUAAUCGGGGCAGGGUGAGUCGACCCCUAAGGCGAGGCAGAAAUGCGUAGUCGAUGGGAAACAGGUUAAUAUUCCUGUACUGGUGAUAAUUGCGAUGGGGGGACGGAGAAGGCUAGGCUGGCCGGGCGACGGUUGUCCCGGUUUAAGGAUGUAGGUGGGUGAAUUAGGCAAAUCCGGUUCGCUAUACACUGAGGUCUGAUGACGAGUCACUACGGUGGCGAAGUAGCUCAUGCCCCGCUUCCAGGAAAAGCCUCUAAGCUCUAGAUUAUCAUUAAUCGUACCCCAAACCGACACAGGUGGUCAGGUAGAGAAUACUCAGGCGCUUGAGAGAACUCGGGUGAAGGAACUAGGCAAAAUGGUGCCGUAACUUCGGGAGAAGGCACGCUGGCAUUAGGUGAAGUCCCUUGCGGAUGGAGCUGAAGCCAGUCGCAGAUACCAGCUGGCUGCAACUGUUUAUUAAAAACACAGCACUGUGCAAACACGAAAGUGGACGUAUACGGUGUGACGCCUGCCCGGUGCUGGAAGGUUAAUUGAUGGGGUUAUCCGUAAGGAGAAGCUCUUGAUCGAAGCCCCAGUAAACGGCGGCCGUAACUAUAACGGUCCUAAGGUAGCGAAAUUCCUUGUCGGGUAAGUUCCGACCUGCACGAAUGGCGUAAUGAUGGCCAGGCUGUCUCCACCCGAGACUCAGUGAAAUUGAACUCGCUGUGAAGAUGCAGUGUACCCGCGGCAAGACGGAAAGACCCCGUGAACCUUUACUAUAGCUUGACACUGAACAUUGAGCCUUGAUGUGUAGGAUAGGUGGGAGGCUUUGAAGUGUGGACGCCAGUCUGCAUGGAGCCAACCUUGAAAUACCACCCUUUAAUGUUUGAUGUUCUAACGUUGCCCCGUGAUCCGGGGUGCGGACAGUGUCUGGUGGGUAGUUUGACUGGGGCGGUCUCCUCCCAAAGCGUAACGGAGGAGCACGAAGGUUGGCUAAGCAUGGUCGGACAUCAUGCGGUUAGUGCAAAGGCAUAAGCCAGCUUGACUGCGAGAGUGACGGCUCGAGCAGGUACGAAAGUAGGUCUUAGUGAUCCGGUGGUUCUGAAUGGAAGGGCCAUCGCUCAACGGAUAAAAGGUACUCCGGGGAUAACAGGCUGAUACCGCCCAAGAGUUCAUAUCGACGGCGGUGUUUGGCACCUCGAUGUCGGCUCAUCACAUCCUGGGGCUGAAGUAGGUCCCAAGGGUAUGGCUGUUCGCCAUUUAAAGUGGUACGCGAGCUGGGUUUAGAACGUCGUGAGACAGUUCGGUCCCUAUCUGCCGUGGGCGUUGGAAGAUUGAAAGGGGCUGCUCCUAGUACGAGAGGACCGGAGUGGACGCACCGCUGGUGUUCGGGUUGUCAUGCCAAUGGCACUGCCCGGUAGCUAAGUGCGGAAGAGAUAACCGCUGAAAGCAUCUAAGCGGGAAACUUGCCUUGAGAUGAGUCUUCCCUGACUCUUUAAGGGUCCUAAAGGAACGUUUAAGACGAAGACGUUGAUAGGCUGGGUGUGUAAGCGUAGCGAUACGUUGAGCUAACCAGUACUAAUGAACCGUGAGGCUUAACCUG
rnacentral:rRNA from 1 species